CUGGACACUCUAUCGGGAUGGACGCUCAGACCCUUGCAAGGCAGCAAUAUGCUGUCCAUGGAUGCAGAUGUGCGUUUGGCCUUUCCUUCACCAUUACGAUUGUCAAAAUGUUGUGCCGAAGCCUCUGUGCCUCGGGACAGGUCCUCUCCCCCACCGCAGCAGGAGGACCCAGCCAGGCCGGCAGAGCAGACAGGAGCCUCC
rnacentral:lncRNA from 1 species